rnacentral:lncRNA from 1 species
AAAAAAAUGUAGCCCUCAUUUCCACAUUGGAAAUGUGUCUUUGGCAUUCUCCUGUAAUUUCUCAGUGGACUGUGUUGGGUAAAAUGUUCCUUUCACAUGUCAAAGUUCCCCAGGGAAGGAUUGAAUCAUGAAAGGCAGAACUGGGAGCGGCAUGGCUUGUUUGGGGGAUGAAGGUGGCCCAAGGUCCACAGGCAGUCAGGAGUGGGAGGUGGCGCUGGCCGGGGGCAGUCCCUGCUUCUGGUGGAUGGCACUAGCUUGUGUGCCUGGGAAAGAAUGUCUUCAUCGUCUUACUCUGCCCAGGGCCACACAAAGGGGACUCCAUCUCCCCAGACGGUGACAAGCAGUUCAGGGCUCUGCAUCUGGGAAGAGGUUUGAGUUGCCAUCCCGAGGGCAGGACGGCUCCUUGCUCCUCUCUCAUCUGUAUCCUGGGUGUAAGGCGGAAGAUUCUGGACCAGGGCUUCUACAGUUUAGGUUGAGAGACACCAGUGGGUUGUCACCUGCCUUUACAUUGUGUGUGUGAAAAGCACCACAGAGGGAGCCUGCUGUGUGAGACCUCUGACCUCGGUGUGCAGGGGUGUCAGGUGACAUGCCUCUCUCUCCAGGGUCCGAGAGAAGUCUGAAAGCCACUCUUCUAGAAAGAGGCUCCCAAGCAUAUUAUUUCAGGAGAUAAGCUCCUCUUGAGUGAAAACGUGAGACACCUCCUCAAGUGAUGGGCCCAGAGUGGUUUCGUAGUCAGGCCUGCAGUGAUGGCUCCCUCUGAAUGUCCCUGAGAUGUCUGUCCUUUUCAUCAUCCACAAAAGAGCUUCACUGGUGAAGAAUUCCCUUCUCUGAAAUAAGCGGGAGCCACGUGCUGGGGCGUCACGGCAGGAACAUGAUUUCUGUUCUUCUUCUCAGGAAGCAUUUAUCAAGGUCUGUUGAAGGUCACCUAGGGGUGAGGUCACCCAGCCCGCAGGCUUCCAACCCCCGGGGGCUGUGCGGACCCAGCCCCUCCACCCAGAGGCUGUCCCUGGGGGACGUGGGCUCCGGGGCAACCAAUUCAAGGAAUGUGUGUGUGUGGUGGGGCAGGGAGAGAGGUCGGGACACUCCCCCAUCCUGGCCCUAUGUGUCCUUCCUUCGCCACCUCUGUGCUGAUCCUGUCCCUGCUGGACAGCCCAGCUGGAGUGGAUGAUUUUCUGGACAGAGUCAGGCCACACAGCUUUGAGUUUCACACGCUGCUUUCCAGUAAACCAGCCCUCCCCGCCCUCCUCUACUGUCCACGCUCCCCUGCAGGGCAGACCGGCCAGGCUCCUCCACCAGUUCCCACACUCUUCCUCUGCCCUCUGUUCUUUUUAGGGCUGCACUUGUGGCAUAUGGAGGUUCCCAGGCUACGGGUCUAAUCGGAGCUGUAGCCGCCGGCUUAUGCCACAGCCACAGCAACGUGGGAUCCGAGCCGCGUGUGUGACCUAAACCACAGCUCAUGGCUGCGCCAGAUCCUUAACCCACUGAAUGAGGCCAGGGAUCGAACCUGCAACCUCAUGGUUCCUAGUUGGAUUCGUUAACCAUUGGGCCACAACAGGAGCUCCCUUCUGCUUGUUAUUGCUGCUGAAAAACACACCCCAAAGCUUAGUGGCUUAAAACAGCAAAUGAGGAGUCCCCGUAGUGGCUCACUGGGUUAAGAACCCAACAUAGUGUCCAUGAGGAUGCGGGUUUGCUCCCUGGCCUUGCUCAGUGGGUUAAGGAUUGGGUGUUGCUGCAAGCUGCGGCAUAGGUUGCAGUCCGGCUUGGAUCUCGUGUUGCCGUGGUCGUGGUGUCCAUAGGCUGGCAGCUGCAGUUCUAAUUCAGUCCCUAGCCUUGGAACAUCCAUAUGCUGCAGGUGCAGCCUUAAAAAAAGAAAAAAAAAAAAAAAAAAAAAAAAAAAAAGCAAAUGAUUCCUCUUUUGCAUGCUGACUGGGCCUGGCCGAGUUGUCCUGGCCUAGCAUUUCUGACACGAUCGCAAUCAGAUGUGCCCAGGCUAGUGUCAACUGAGGCCGCCACGAAGGGGAUGUUGGGAUGGUGCCUUUGUCUGCAAGCCUGGGAAGAUGUUGGUGCUCUGCUGUCAGUUCUCAUGCGCUCUUGGCUGGAAUGCUCACAUGUAGCCUCUCCAUGUGUCUUUGACUUUGACCCAGCAUGGCGGCUGUGGCUCAAGAGUCCCAAUGGCCAGCAUCCCAAGAGUCCUAGGCAGCUGCAAGCCCUCUGAUAACCCUGUCUUGGAAGAUCUGGAGCUUCUUGUGGAUGAGCACGUUGCCAAGGCCAGGUGCCAGUGAUGAGGACCAGACCCCUGGCUGGGGACCUGCAGGCUGCACCUCAGGAGAGCGGGCGUGGGUUGUGAGCUCCUGUUCAGCCAUUUUUGGAAGAUACCACCUGCCAUUGCGGACGCACCUGAAAUCUCUGUUUUCACUUAUUUUCUUGUCCAUCCCUGUGGGUUGGAAGCUUCUGGACAGCAAGGUCCCCACACCUGGACAUUCUUGCUAGAAUGAAAAAAAAGAAAAAAAGAAAAAUUCCCUGUUGUAUUUUGACCUGGGGAUUAAACGCAAUCUGAUUAAUGUCAGAGGAAUAACAUUUUAGCAGAGAAGUUCAAGCAUCCGUAACUGGAAUUGCUGCUAGAUGUUUAGAGGGCAGUGCUCUUUUAUCCUUAUUCAUCCAUUCUUUCUUUCUUUCCUUUUUUUUUUAAUUCAGAAGAUCAUUCCCACCACAUCCCAGAAACAGCACU